rnacentral:rRNA from 1 species
GAUGAACGCUGGCGGCGUGCCUAAUACAUGCAAGUCGAGCGGACGGACGCGAAGCUUGCUUCUCUGAUGUUAGCGGCGGGCGUGUGUGUAACACGUGUAUAACCUACCUAUAUGUCUGGGAUAACUUCGGGAAACCGGAUCUAAUACCGGAGAAUAUUUUGAACCGCAGGGUUCAAAAGUGAAUGACGGUGUUUGUGUCACUUCUAGAUGGUUCCGCGCUGCAUGAGAUAGUUGUUAAGGUAACGGCUUACCAAGGCGACGAGGCAUAGCCGACCUGAGAGGGUGAUAGGCCACACUGGAACUGAGACACGGACCAGACUACUACGGGACGCAGCAGUCGGGAAUCUGACGCAAUGGGCGAAAGCCUGACGGAGCAACGCCGCGUGUGUGAUGAAGGUCUUCGGAUCGUAAAACUCUGUUAUGAGGGAAGAACAUAUGUGUAAGUAAAUGUGCACAUCUUGACGGUACCUAAUCAGAAAGCCACGGCUAACUACGUG